rnacentral:lncRNA from 1 species
GUGGAAGCCUACAAGAAAUGAAGAUGAUGAUGGCUAUGGCAUUGACCUCGACAUGAGCCUUCCUCAAGCCCUUCAAAGGUGGCAAGCUGAUGAAGGAACUUCAAGAAUGUUCGAUGACUUCUCGAUCAGUGACACGCAGUCGAGCAUACCCUCAAAACCUUCCGGAUUUGCAGAUACUUUCAAUUCAACAGAUUGCAGAUAAAAAUUUUGGUAACAGGUCAAGCCAUCCCACGCCUCCAACGGUUUUAAUCCUAUGCGGAUCAACUUAAAUCAGUGACACACAGUCAAGCAUACCCUCAAAACCUUCUGGAUUUGCAGAUACUUUUAAUUCAACAGAUUGCAGAUAAAAUUUUUGGUAACAGGUCAAGCCAUGCCACGCCUUCGACGCUUUUAAUACUCUGUGGAUCAACAUACAGUAUACCAAUUCAUUUGAUUAAUUGGUUUCCUCCUGUCAAUGUCAUUUGCUUCUUAUGUAGUUACAUCUCUUUUUGUAACAAAUUUAUUAUAGUCUAGAUGCAAGUUGUGAUAACAGAAGGUUUAAGUCAGGUGAGUGUUACUUUUCCCUUUUGCCUUUUUUGGAUUGUAUCAAAUUCUUUCAUAUGUUGUCAAUGUAAAUAGAAUUGAGCUUCAUAUUUUCUUUCUACCUUGUGUUAAUCCAAAGAUUUGAUUUAGUUUACACUAGUAGCUAGCAUGGUACUUAUUAAGUCCUAUGUCAAUUCUGGUCAGCUCGGUGCAUAAAGCUGUCCGUAUUCAUGAAGGAUUCGGGAUGUGCCGCACCCAAAAGGAUAUAAUGUAAG